rnacentral:rRNA from 1 species
UACCAGCACCCCGAGUGGUCUGGACGAUUAUUGGGCCUAAAGCGUCCGUAGCCGGUCCUGCAAGUCUUCCGUUAAAUCCAGCUGCUCAACAGAUGGGCUGCGGGGGAUACUACAUGGCUAGGAGGCGGGAGAGGCAAGCGGUACUUUAUGGGUAGGGGUAAAAUCCGUUGAUCCAUAGAAGACCACCAGUGGCGAAGGCGGCUUGCCAGAACGCGCUCGACGGUGAGGGAUGAAAGCUGGGGGAGCAAACCGG